GUCGAGGUAGACCACUUUUCUUCACCAUUUUUUGCAACUUACAACCUCCAAAACCCAUUUUUUCACCUUGGAAAAAGUCCUUGAACCCACAAAAAGCUCAUACUUUCCUAACCAUCAUACCACACAAAUCAUUAAUCCACUUUCCAUUUUCGAUUUCAUCCGCCAGAUUUUUUAAAAAUCCAACCUUUUCACCAACCACUUCGUCUUCUUCAUCCGCUUUUCAAGAGCACUCAAAUGGAGUUCAACGGAUUCA
rnacentral:lncRNA from 1 species